UUUUGUGUGUUAAUUUGUUCUUCUGACACCAAUCUCAUCUUCCAGUGAAUAAGAGACUGGUAUAUGAAGAAGUUAAAAAGGCUGUGGAGAGAGAUCGAUCAACUGUGAAAGUCUCUGAAUUGUCUAGGCAUGGCCUUAUGGAAAUCACCAGAAAGAGGGUUAGACCUAGCGUGACAUUUAUGAUUAGUGAACCAUGCAAUUGCUGUCAUGCUACUGGAAGAGUGGAAGCUUUGGAGACCUCAUUUUCCAAAAUCGAGCAUGAAAUUUGCCGGCUGCUUG